rnacentral:snRNA from 1 species
GUGCUCGCUUCGGCAGCACAUAUGCUAAAAUUGGAACAAUACAGAGAAGAUUAGCAUGACCCCUGUGCAAGGAUGACAUGCAAAUUCGUGAAACAUUCCAUUAAAAA